rfam:Triticum aestivum genome assembly, contig: Triticum_aestivum_CS42_TGACv1_scaffold_556095_7AL
GUACUACUCCCUCCGUCCAAAUUACUCGUCGUAGAAAUGGAUGUAUCUAGAACUAAAAUACAUCUAGAUACAUUCAUACCUGCGACAAGUAAUUCGGAACGGAGGGAGUACAUU